rnacentral:rRNA from 1 species
GAGUGGCGGACGGGUGAGUAAUGUCUGGGAAACUGCCUGAUGGAGGGGGAUAACUACUGGAAACGGUAGCUAAUACCGCAUAAUGUCGCAAGACCAAAGAGGGGGACCUUCGGGCCUCUUGCCAUCAGAUGUGCCCAGAUGGGAUUAGCUAGUAGGUGGGGUAACGGCUCACCUAGGCGACGAUCCCUAGCUGGUCUGAGAGGAUGACCAGCCACACUGGAACUGAGACACGGUCCAGACUCCUACGGGAGGCAGCAGUGGGGAAUAUUGCACAAUGGGCGCAAGCCUGAUGCAGCCAUGCCGCGUGUAUGAAGAAGGCCUUCGGGUUGUAAAGUACUUUCAGCGGGGAGGAAGGUGUUGAGGUUAAUAACCUCAGCAAUUGACGUUACCCGCAAAAGAAGCACCGGCUAACUCCGUGCCAGCAGCCGCGGUAAUACGGAGGGUGCAAGCGUUAAUCGGAAUUACUGGGCGUAAAGCGCACGCAGGCGGUCUGUCAAGUCGGAUGUGAAAUCCCCGGGUUCAACCUGGGAACUGCAUUCGAAACUGGCAGGCUGGAGUCUUGUAGAGGGGGGUAGAAUUCCAGGUGUAGCGGUGAAAUGCGUAUAGAUCUGGAGGAAUACCGGUGGCGAAGGCUGCCCCCUGAACUAAGACUGACGCUCAGGUGCGAAUGCGAGGGGAGCAAACAGGAUUAGAUACCCUGCUAGUCCAUGCCGUAGACGAUGUCGAUUUGGAGGUUGUGCCCUUGGAGGCGUGGCUUCCGGAGCUCACGCGUUAA